rnacentral:rRNA from 1 species
GAUGAAUGCUGGCGGCGUGCCUAACACAUGCAAGUCGAGCGGCAGCGCGAGUAGUUUACUACUUGGCGGCGAGCGGCGGACGGCUGAGUAACGCGUGGGAACGUGCCCCAAAGUGAGGAAUAACUGCCCGAAAGGGUGGCUAAUGCCGCAUAUGAUCUUCGGAUUAAAGGAUUUAUCCGCUUUGGGAGCGGCCCGCGUUAGAUUAGGUAGUUGGUAGGGUAAUGGCCUACCAAGCCGACGAUCUAUAGCUGGUCUGAGAGGAUGAUCAGCCAGACUGGGACUGAGACACGGCCCAGACUCCUACGGGAGGCAGCAGUGAGGAAUGUUCCACAAUGGGCGAAAGCCUGAUGGAGCAACGCCGCGUGCAGGAAGGCCUUCGGGUUGUAAACUGCUUUUAUAAGUGAAGAAUAUGACGGUAACUUAUGAAUAAGCACCGGCUAACUACGUGCCAGCAGCCGCCGUAA